GCGCGUCCUACCAUGCAAGUCGAACGCGAAAAGUCCCGCAAGGGAUAAGUAGAGUGGCAGACGGGUGAGUAAUGCAUAGGUAAUCUACCCUUGAGUGUGGGAUAACUCCGGGAAACCGGUGCUAAUCCCGCAUAAUGUCCUGAUGCGUAAGCAUCUGGAUCAAAGGGGGGGAUCUUUCGGGACCUCCCGCUUGAGGAUGAGCCUAUGUCCUAUUAGCUAGUUGGUGAGGUAAUGGCCCACCAAGGCUCUGAUGGGUAGCCGAGCUGAGAGGCUGAUCGGCCACACUGGAACUGAAACACGGUCCAGACUCCUACGGGAGGCAGCAGUGGGGAAUUUUGCGCAAUGGGCGAAAGCCUGACGCAGCGACGCCGCGUGAGGGAUGAAGGUCCUAGGAUUGUAAACCUCUGUCAGGAAGCAUUAAAUGCACGGGUAUCAACACCAUCCGUGCUUGACUUAACUUCCAGAGGAAGCCCCGGCUAACUACGUGCCAGCAGCCGCGGUAAUACGUAGGGGGCAAGCGUUACUCGGAUUUAUUGGGCGUAAAGAGAAUUCAGGCGGUCAUGUAAGUCAGUGGUGAAAUACCUCGGCUCAACUGGGGAAUUGCCUUUGAUACUGCGUGACUUGAGGGCAGGAGAGGAAGGCGGAAUUCCCGGUGUAGCGGUGGAAUGCGUAGAUAUCGGGAGGAACACCUGAGGCGAAGGCGGCUUUCUGGACUGGUCCUGACGCUGAUAUUCGAAAGCUAGGGGAGCAAACAGGAUUAGAUACCCUGGUAGUCCUAGCUGUAAACGAUGGAUACUAGAUCUUGCAUGAU
rnacentral:rRNA from 1 species